rnacentral:rRNA from 1 species
UAGGGAAUAUUGCAAAAUGGGCGAAAGCCCGAUGCAGCAACGCCGCGUGGGCGAUGAAGGCCUUCGGGUCGUAAAGCCCUUUUUGAGGGGAUGAGGAAGGACAGUACCCUCAGAAUAAGCCUCGGCUAACUACGUGCCAGCAGCCGCGGUAAAACGUAGGAGGCGAGCGUUAUCCGGAUUCACUGGGUUUAAAGGGUGCGUAGGUGGGCAGGUAAGGCAGUGGUGAAAUCUCCGGGCUUAACCCGGAAACUGCCGUUGAUACUAUUUGUCUUGAAUAUUGUGGAGGUAAGCGGAAUAUGUCAUGUAGCGGUGAAAUGCUUAGAUAUGACAUAGAACACCAAUUGCGAAGGCAGCUUACUACACAAUCAUUGACGCUGAGGCACGAAAGCGUGGGGAUCAAACA